rnacentral:misc_RNA from 1 species
CCGAGUCUCGAACUCACCAAACCCCUGUGAACAUACCAGUGUUGCUUCGGCGGUCGACCCCUCCGCCCUCCCCUCACCGGGUGGGCGGCGUGGUUCCGCCAGAGGACCAUAUCAAAACUCCUGUUUUUUUUCAGAAAGGAUUCCGCUCUGAGUAAACCAAAGAAAACCAUUA